rnacentral:lncRNA from 1 species
GCUAGUUAGGGACUCAGGGCUCUCAAUCUCGAUCCGCUGUGUCGGUGACAGUUGAGAGUCCCUGCUUAAGCUUGAAUAAACGACCCUUGUGUGCUUACAUCGAAAACGGCCUCCUGGUGGUCUCUGGGACUUCACAAUCUGGGCACAACAUUUGGGGGCUCGUCCGGGAUCCCAAGACCUUCAGGACUCCCGUACCGGAGGGUCAACGCCGGCUGCUUCUGCAGGUCCUGUUCACCACUGAGGAACGAGAGAGGAUCCAGAAUGAGGCCAGAAAAUUGGUUCCUGGUGACAAUGGUCAACCCACCACCAAUGCUGACACUAUCAACACUUCUUUUCCUCUGUCCCGACCCAACUGGGACUUCAACACGGCGGAAGCCUCCAAAGUGUGCACGAGGAUAUCUGGCCUAAAUUAAAAGCCUUAUAUCAAACUGGACCGCCUCCCGAGCCCCAUCGCUAUCGACCAGGAGACUGGGUCUUCGUCCAGAGACACCGACAAAGGGACCUUGAGCCCCGUUGAAAAGGACCCUACGUCACAGUCCUGACCACGCCCACCACUCUCAAGGUCGAGAUCCUCACGCUGUCCUAGAGGACUUCGUUCCAUCAUGGCAGGUGUCCAAAGACCAAGACAAUCCCCUCAAACUCAAGCUGCGUCGUCGAAGGUCAUGAUUGUGGUAACUGUACUUUUGACACUGAUUUUAGGAGGACAGAACCCACAUGCUCCCCUAAAUUUAACCUGGAUGAUCAUCAGUACCGCCACAGGUGACAUUAUUAACAGCUCGUCCAAAGUGAGCCCACCAUUAACCUGGUGGCCUGCUCUAGAGUUUGAUCUCUGUCGGCUAGCCACUGGCAGCUGGGAUAUCGGACACUGGAGCCUAGAGUCACGGGGAAGGCCUGAAUGUGGGGAAACAAAAAAGGGGUGUACCCUCCCCCCCGGUCGAUUCACGAACACCGGGCUGCAACCAUGUAAUUCGCAGGGCAAUAUUACGAGACACCCCCUUCUACAGGGAGGACUCUGCGUUGCCUUAGGUAAAGAAUGUUGCUUCUAUGUAGAUCAUUCAGGAGUGGUCAAAGAGUCCAUGGCUAAAGUUAGGGAAGACAUCGCCAAACGUAAGCGAAAAAGA